GGUCUUGCCUGCCCAGUGAUAAGUUAAACGGCCGCGGUAUUUUGACCGUGCGAAGGUAGCGCAAUCACUUGUCUUUUAAAUGAAGACCUGUAUGAAUGGUGAAACGAGGGCUUAACUGUCUCCCUUUUCCAGUCAAUGAAAUUGAUCUGCCCGUGCAGAAGCGGACAUAAAAAUACAAGACGAGAAGACCCUUUGGAGCUUAAGAUACAGGGUCACCUAUGUCAAGAGCUUAAAACAGCUAUAAACUAAGUAGUAACUGACCUCAAUCUUCGGUUGGGGCGACCACGGGAGAAAACACAGCUCCCACGCGGACUGGGUUAAAACCUAAAACCAAGAGAGACAUCUCUAAGCAACAGAACUUCUGACCACACAGAUCCGGCCACCAUGCCGACCAACGGACCAAGUUACCCCAGGGAUAACAGCGCAAUCCCCUUUCAGAGUUCAUAUCGACAAGGGGGUUUACGACCUCGAUGUUGGAUCAGGACAUCCUAAUGGUGCAGCCGCUAUUAAGGGUUCGUUUGUUCAACGAUUAAAGUCCUACGUGAUCUGA
rnacentral:rRNA from 1 species